AGCUCAUCUGAGACCUAAGAUGGCGGCGUUCGUACUGAGGGAAAGGACUGCCGGCGUACCAGGUGUGGAAAGCAGCCAAGGAACAAAUCUGAGGGAAGUACAGAAGCUCGCCAAGUUUUGUUUUGUGAUGAGGACCUCUGGGCAUUGCAAUAUUAACAUUUGUUCUGGAAGCACAUUGUUCUGUUCAGAGGGGAUUUCCACAUCUGUUAUGAAAUAAGUACUUAAGAUAUACAAACAUAUAAAGAAUAACACAAUGAAAGAUGAAAAAAAAAAUACAGUGAACCUCUGAUUUAUCAUCCAAACGUAAAAGUAAUACAUUACUAUGAUAGUUGAAGUUCUCCGUGUACCCAUUCCUGGAUUCAUCUCUUUUCUUCCUUCAUCCCCAGAGCCUGAAGAAGUCCCUUUGGCAGUUCUUGUAGGGAGUCCUUUAGGCUUGACCUUCUCCAUGCUCUUGCAAAUGAAGUCAGUCCCUGUGGGAAGAAAUUAAGAGCCAUCUGUUUUAAUGUCUGCUGCUUCCCUCAAACAAAAGCUCUGAGCCGGGUCUCUGGAGGUGGGGUAGGA